CCUACGGGGUGCAGCAGUGGGGAAUAUUGGGCAAUGGAGGCAACUCUGACCCAGCAACGCCGCGUGAAGGAAGAAGGCCUUAGGGUUGUAAACUGCUUUUGUACAAGGGUAAACCUGAAUACGUGUAUUCAGCUGAAAGUACUGUACGAAUAAGGAUCGGCUAACUCCGUGCCAGCAGCCGCGGUAAUACGGAGGAUCCAAGCGUUAUCCGGAUUUAUUGGGUUUAAAGGGUGCGUAGGCGGAUUGAUAAGUUAGAGGUGAAAUGUCCGAGCUUAACUAGGGAACUGCCUCUAAUACUGUUGAUCUAGAGAGUAGAUGCGGUAGGCGGAAUGUAUGGUGUAGCGGUGAAAUGCUUAGAGAUCAUACAGAACACCGAUUGCGAAGGCAGCUUACCAAUCUAUAUCUGACGUUGAGGCACGAAAGCGUGGGGAGCAAACAGGAUUAGAUACCCCAAUAGUC
rnacentral:rRNA from 1 species